UAAGCCCGCUCACCGCCUUGUUCCUCCUGCGCGGCGGGCAAAAACUUGGACAGAGUGAUCCUUUCUUGCUAUCUAACCUAAGAAGAUGCUCACGGCGAAUCUUUUCUCAAAUGAUUUUAUUUCGCCUUUUUGGGUGUGGAGAUGUUGGAUGACGAGGCCAAGGAGGAGAAAGAGUUGGAUCUCGCUUCCUGCGAUGUAGUGACCAAGUUCAAGAAUGCGGCUGAGAUCGUUUAAUAGUAUGCUCUGACUUUGUUCAGUUUUGUGAUAUAGAAGCAAUUCAUCAUGUGUUGGCGUAGUUUUUAUAGCUGCGAUGUGCUUGCCGAUGUAACAGAUGCUAUUCAGUUGGUGCUUUCGGAGUGCAAGCCCAAAGCGAAGAUAGUUGGCAUUUGCGAGAAGCGAGAUGCCUUUAUUCGAGAGUGCGCGUUUAUUAACUCAUAAAAUGUUAGGAAUGUAUAUACGCGAGUUGUUAAUAAGGUGCUGUAUCUGGAGAUUAAUUAAUGCGGGCAAGCUGGGAGUAUGUACAAGAAUUUGAAAGAAAAAAAUUGAAAGGGCAGUUGCCUUCCCAACUUGCAUAUCUGUGAACCAUACUGUGUCAUUUUUCACCAUUGUGGAAUAUUGGAAUGGUGAGGCAGUUUUGGAGGAGAAUGAUAUUGUGAAGAUAUUAGAAUUGCUUAUGCGUGGUUUUAUAUUUCUGCAGUUCCUUUUAUAGGUUGCGAAGGGAAUAAGGCUGGAUUCAUAAGUUAUUUUUCUUCUAUUGUGGUUCUUCAGUGAUAUGGGCUGCCAUAUAGAUGGGUUUAUUGCUGUGGUUGCACAAACUCAUGUACUUCAAGAAGGGCCAGUAAGUGGAAGGGCAGCAGAUGUGAUCUCUGCUGCAAACACUGCUGCAGAGGUUGCAUUGAGGCUUGUUAGGCCUGGGAAGAAGGUCAUUAUUUUGGUCUUAUCUCUUGCCACUUGUUUGAUGCAAGGUACCUGGUGAAACUUAAGUUCUUUUUCAACUGGAAAUAUUGUUUUUGGUUGACCGUACGAAGAAUUGGAAUUUUGAAGCCAAUCAUGGAUGUUGAUAUGGAGCUUAUGUUAUGGUUACUAUACAAGGGUGAAACCUCUAUUUGUUUAUUUAGUUUGAACUAUUAUUAUAAAAUCUUCACUUGCUAUUUGAUUUCUUAAAAUGUAUUUUUUACUUGUGUCAAAAUUUUCAGUUGGGCUGUUUGGUUGCUUUAGAAUGGAAUGUGGUGUAAAAGGAAUGGUGGGCGGUAGUGGUGGCCGGCGGCCUGCGGUGGUGGGCGGCAGCCAUCAGUGUUGGCGGUGAUUGAUGACGUUGGUCGGUGGUGGUGAGCCGACAGUGGAUUGUGGACGGCGGCAGGCGGUGGUGGUGGCUGUGACCGCUUGUGGGAGGUGGAUGGUGACGGCCGGCCGUGGUGCUUGUGGCGUUAGGUGGUGGUGGUGGUGGGCGGCGGACGGCAGUUGAAGGAGGUUGUCGGCGACAGCUUGCGGUUGUCGACGGCGGCCGACGGCGGCCGACGGUGGUCUGUGAUGGCUGACGGGUUGUGGGAGGCGGCAGUGGUCGUCGGGGUGGUCAAGCAAGCGAGCGAUCGAUGUAAACUGUUCUCGGCCAAAACAAGCAAGAACACUUUACAUCAAAAAAUGAACUAGAAUAAAAUACAUUACAUUUAUUUUGGAUUUACUUUUCAUCCAACCAAACACCCAAAAGUUCAAAACCCCAUGCAUUAGGAAUGCAAUGCAUUCACUUUAUGCUACCCUUGAAUUUGGGCAUUAAACUCUACCCCGGAGACAAACAUGUUCUAAAUCGCAUCAAUGCUGUUACUUGUUGCUCUAUUUGCUCUCUUUUCAUGUGUCAUCCCUAUUAUGCUUAAAAUAUAUCAUUCUUUAUUGAAUGCUAAAAUAUUCAAAAACUUCUUUGAGCUGUUCAAUCUA